AGUCGCGUGGUCUAAUGGUCAUGAUUUUCCGUUCACACGUGACUAGUCACAUGAUGAGUCUAUUCUGCUUCACCACAGAUUACCGGAAAGGCUCCCGGUUCGAUCCCGGGCGCGACUA